rnacentral:lncRNA from 1 species
UAGCUAUCUCCACAAAAAUCCUUGCUCUCUUCUUAUUAUCAAUCAAAAACAUGUCUAAGAUAAUGCAAUAUUUGUUAUCUGUAUCACUGGUAGCCUUCCUCUUAUUAAGUCAUGAAACAUUUCCAUGCUCAGCUCAUGAAGGUGGGUUGACACAAGUUCACCUCAGCUCUCGGAAGCUAGAGAUAGGAGGAGUUGAGAUUAAGAAGAUCCGGGCCAUGGGGCGGCCGCGAUAUACCGCUGCGGGUACUUCUUCUUCUUCAUUGGCAAUUCGUAAACAAGAAUUUUCACUACAACUGUGGGGUUCACUUCUCGGUUGUUUAAUGUUCUUUGUUUUCUAAUUCUUGCUCUACCCUUGUAAAUUAAAGCUUGUAAUAUUCUUAAUCCUCUGUGUGUGUGUGUUAUUUUUUAAUUUCUGCAAGUAUUUCUUUUUAGAAAGCAUGUAUGGUGAUUACAUUUAAUUAAUUAUGGAGAUUAAUUUCAUAUUUUUGUUAUGGACAUAGGGUAUGUCAUAUAUUGUGUAUUUCCAAAUUCAAGAAUUUUAUUGUCAUGGAUUAAUUAAUGUGUGACUCAUCUAUAAUGGGAAACAUUAUUGUGUGAUAAUUAAAUAAAAUUUCAAAAAUAACAAUUCCCUUUUAAUGUAGUGAAGAGUAGAAUUGUAAUUCAUCUAAUUUUCCUUACUUGAUCGAACAACAAAAAUCGGUUAUUUCAACUACAUCAAACAAUCUUUCAUAUUGGUCAAGACUCUAGUUUAUGGCCGCUUCUCUAUGGUGCCAAUUAUUACUUCAUUGAAUUUGCUUCACUAAUAUGCUCAUGAUUUUAUCAUCCAUUAUUCCAUCCUAUUCUGCCAAAUUGAAUUUUCGACAGCAUCUUCAAAAAUAUGUAGGAUCAUAAUCUAAAAACAAUGCAAAGUAAGUAUUUUUAUCCUCCGAUUGGUCAAUUUCCGGGCCUCUUUCAAACACGGCGGAGACGUGAUUCAGCUACUGCAUCAGUAGAUUCUAUUGUUGUUGAUGAAUUUUCAGCAUUUGUUGGAGUUGGUGAGUUUUUGGGAAUAUUAGUUGCUGAAAUUUGUUGUUGUAGAGGCUGCUGCAUUUCUUUUUUGUUUUUUCCAUAAAAAGUCUAUAAUUGGCUGUUUUUAUGAACAGUUUUUGCUCCAAUUCCAAGUGUUUUUCUCAUCAAAACUGACAUCUCUGCUGGUCACGAUCUUGUUUGUGAGUGGAUUGAACCAUUUAUAAGCCUUCACUUAUACCAAGAAAGUCACAUUUUUCACCCUUAUCAUCAAGCUUCUUACUUUUCUCAUUCAGGACAUGCGCAUAAGCGAUGCAAUCAAAAAUUCUAAAAUGAUCUACGUUUAAUUGGUUUUCGUCCACUCCAAGCCUCCUCAGGUGUAAUGUUUUGAACAGAAAAAGUACGUAGGACUUCUGUUCAACACAUUAAUCUGUAUGAAAUUGUCACCGACUCAAUUUUUUGGAGACGGAGGGAGUAAUCAAUAAGCACAUUUUGUUGAUGGAAUGAUUAAUACAUGUCGGCUAUAAAGAUUUGGUCCUUACUCAUACACAUCCAAAAUAAGUCAAGUACUAGUUGGUACUGAAAUGAAGGCAACUUGGUCCUCUCCUCGGCUCACCCAACCUCCAAAAUUAAUUCACUCAACUGGGUUGCUAUUUCAGUUGUAUAUAAAUAUACACAGCCACUCAAUAAGAUGAGCAACCUAUCUCCACCUCCACAAAAAUCCUUGCUCUCUUCUUAUUAUCAAUAAAAAACAUGUCUAAGAUAAUUCAAUAUUUGCUAUCUGUAUCACUGGUAGCCUUCCUCUUAUUAAGUCAUGAAACAUUUCCAUGCUCAGCUCAUGAAGGUGGGUUGACACAAGUUCACCUCAGCUCUCGGAAGCUAGAGAUAGGAGGAGUUGAGAUUAAGAAGAUCCGGGCCAUGGGGCGGCCGCGAUAUACCGCUGCGGGUACUUCUUCUUCAUUGGCAAUUCGUAAACAAGCAUUUUCACUACAACUCUGGGGUUCACUUCUCGGUUGUUUAAUGUUCUUUGUUUUCUAAUUCUUGCUCUAGCCUUGUAAAAGCUUGUAAUAUUAUUCUUAAUCCUCUCUCUUUGUGUGUGUUAGUUUUUAAUUUCUGCAAGUAUUUCUUUUUAGAAAGCAUGUAUGUGCGUGUAUGUGAGGGAAACAUUAUUGUGUGAUAUAUAAUUAAUUAAAGAAGA